CAGUGCCCUUUGAGAUCACAAAGAGUGUGAACUGAAUUUCUUCCAAAGCUGCUUUCGCUCCAGCAUCAUGCCAGCAAUGAAAGAUGCAUAAGGGAGAAUUUUCAGCUGAUCCAGCAGCAGCAGUCAAGAUAAAGAUCAUUUACCCUCCGGAUAAAGCUUUUCUGCAGCUCUCCAGACACAAAUGUGGGGCAGAAAUGGCAGGAGAACAAAGCCUGGUGAUGGCUGACAAGUCUUGUUUCCAGUGAGUGGGAAAUACCGGAAGAAGAGACUUUCUCACAGGAUUUUAGAACGUUGGUCCCUGUUCCAUGCAGCAGUUUAGAAGGGCUCAUGUGCAUGACCAUGAAGAAGAUGUGAUCGACUUAUCUGAGCUGUCACAAGCCAGAAACAAACUUAGGCAUGGGUUAAAGUUUUGAGUUUGGCUCCGUUCGUAUUGUGAAUUGAUGUGCCCAUUGCUAAUAAUGGAACUAAAAAUAAAUAAAUAAAUAGAAAGCUUCAUUUUUCUGUA